CUCGCAAAAGGACUGUCGCAAAGAAGAGUGUGUCACCGAGGCGCAGAUCCCGAAGUGCAUCCCGGGGAAGGAGCGCAAGCCGACGCCGCCCAACUCCUGUGGUACCACAGAAACUUGUUGUUAGGGUCCCCGCAACCAGAGUGCUGCGAUCCCGCACUAUCAAACUAGUCCUAGCAACUCAGUCUGUGACGAAGAAGCGCACCGCUAGCAAGCAGCGUAGGAGCUCCAGCAAAGUGAGGAAGAUACGCAAGCCGGCGCGCAGUGCUAAGAAGCCAGCACGCACUGCUAGCAAGCCAGCACGCAGUACUAGAGUUCUGCGCCGCCGCCGUCGUUAGAACAUGCACGCCCUUUACAUUAUCAAUAGCAGCUCUUUCCUCCCACGAUAGCAAAAAAUAACGACUAGAUUUGCGCAUUUUGGAUAACAAAUUCUUCUACAUAAAACAAGACUUUUGAGAAUGUAUGAGUUCCUGUAAGAGCGUCUCUAUGUCAAAUUCACAUAUUUCUAGUGAUUAUUGGUGAUCUAAAACGGAACAGACAACUUGUAACAAUGUAAGCCACAACUCAGUCAUGUUGGAUACAUGAACGAAUAAACUAUAUAUAUUUUUGUAUACAAAA